CAAGUUACUUGCCGAGAUUAUA
rnacentral:miRNA from 9 species